rnacentral:lncRNA from 1 species
GAUAAGCUUGGAUGUGGCCAUCUUUAUUUGUUGCAUUUCUCUUGAAGAUAAUAUAAUUGUGCAUUUUUGUGUUGCUUGAGUCUAAAAGUCCAAGGGAAUUUUGGGUUUCUAUUGACAUUCUUGUCUAUUGGAUUACUACCCAUUUGGUCAGAUCUUUUCAACUCUAAAAUUUUAAUUUUUUAUAUAGGAUAGUCUCUUCAUCUCUUCCCAAUUUCUUUAAUUUCA